rnacentral:rRNA from 1 species
GACGAACGCUGGCGGCGUGCCUAACACAUGCAAGUCGAACGGAACUUCUUUAAAGGAUUUCUUCGGAAUGAAUUUGAUUAAGUUUAGUGGCGGACGGGUGAGUAACGCGUGAGUAACCUGCCUCUAAGAGGGGAAUAACAUUCUGAAAAGAAUGCUAAUACCGCAUAAUAUAUAUUUAUCGCAUGGUAGAUAUAUCAAAGAUUUAUCGCUUAGAGAUGGACUCGCGUCCGAUUAGUUAGUUGGUGAGGUAACGGCUCACCAAGACCGCGAUCGGUAGCCGGACUGAGAGGUUGAACGGCCACAUUGGGACUGAGACACGGCCCAGACUCCUACGGGAGGCAGCAGUGGGGGAUAUUGCGCAAUGGGGGAAACCCUGACGCAGCAACGCCGCGUGAAGGAUGAAGGUCUUCGGAUUGUAAACUUCUUUUAUUAAGGACGAAGAAAGUGACGGUACUUAAUGAAUAAGCU